CCCCCACAAUGCUUACAAUCAGGAAAUCUUCUUCCCAGAUUUACCUCUAUCAAUUAUGUCUUCAAGCAAGAUAGCUCGCCAUGAUGACAGCUAGGAGUGAUAGCUUCAGAAGCACUGUUAGUAACCAAGAGGUGAAGAAAAGAGGGAGAGAAAAAGGAGAAAGCCUUAAAGAGAAAUUUGGCAGGAGAUUCCCCAUCCAGAUUAGUAUUCUUUUCACUCCAGUUAAUGCAAUGAUUUAAAUAACACAAAAACAAAAGUAUGAGGACGAGUUUGGAAGAAAAUUAGCUCAAAUCAACUUGAAAUUUCACUGAAAGUUUAAAGACCAUUGCAGAAAAUCUCUUAAACUCUCUCUCUCUCUCUCCUCCCUUUUCUUCCAAUUUUUCUUGGAUGCAUUCUGUCUCCAUAAAAAAUAUUGGAGUCAGUAGGGAUAUCUUGCAAAAUUUCCAAGUGCAGACCAAGUUGUAAGUGAGCUAACUAAUUAGAGGAUAUAAGAAGCCACCACAAUUAACCAAUGAUCAAUAUCUUCCUAACUACACCCCAGUUUUGCAGAGAUUGUGGAGAGAAGUGUGUAAACUCUUUGUUAACCAAUGACCCAAUCAUAUAAUCGUUUCUACGGGCAGCACAUUCAGGCAACAUAUCUAGCCUAUAAUUUGUGUCUUUCCAGAAUCAAGAUUCAAGCUUAUAUCUUUAUAUAUGCUUCUUUGAGCUGCUGCUUGAUUUGAGAAUUGAAGCAUCCAGUAACUGAUAUUAUAGUCAAGUUAUGAUCCAGAUUCAAGUAAACAUCUUCUGUUUACUAUUAGAAACCCAAACUUAUACUGCAAACCGACUGGAUUUAUUAUUUUUUACUAUGUUUGGCGAUUGAUUUACACCAAGGGUUUCUAGGACUAUGGAAUUCCAUGCUUCUGAAUGAUCACCUAAAACAAAUUUAAAGUGGUAGCAUAUUAUUCCCACAUUUAUGCUAACUUUCACAGAAAAAGGAUUUUUCUUUAGGUCGCCCAAUUGAGUAUGGCCUGGCAAUGGUAAAUCUUCAAACACAAGUAUCCAGUACUGUCAUCAUAAACCCUCGGAGAAUCACAAGAAACGACGACAAAAGAGCCAUUCGAAAAGAACCAGGCGUGAUUUGAAGUGAUUCGGAACCGAACCGCAUAGAGCAGAGGAAUCGACCGGUAGAAUGCGAACGACGAGGGAGUCGACGGCGCAGAUCGCGGAGGAGACUUCUUCUACCUUCUCGAGGACUAGAGUCUCGAGCUCCACGCUUCCUCGAUCGCCAUUCUCUGCCUUCUCUCGCUUAGUCCCCGAUAUCCCCUCUAGUGGUUUAAGGUGCUCGAAGGCGGGUAUAAAUGGAGAGCCACUCGGUGAUGAUCGAGUGCGGAGCACGUAUGAGGCACAAAUCUUAAUGAAACUAUACGACACC
rnacentral:lncRNA from 1 species